GCGGAGGCGGCGGGGACCAUCUCCUGCCUCCAUGGCAAAUGCGGAAGGCCUUGUGAGAAGAGCUAGGCCUCAGUUGAGGCCUUCGCGUGGGACGGAGGUGAUGGUCCUCCCCGCCGCCGCCACAGCUGCCGCCGCCGAAGGAGAUGGCAAAGGAGUGAUGUGAGAGGAAGUCAUCCCAAGUCAAGAAUCUAUGGCAGUUUUCAUGGGUCAGAUGGAGAAACAUCACGUCCAAAAGGCUCCCUCCUCUGGUCUAUCUGAAAAGUUGUCCAGCCCAAGUCCAAUUCAAGAAUAAAUAACCAGAUGGAGGGAAGAGGGACCUUGGUGCUCUCCUUCAAUGGCUGACAGACUGAGCAGGUAUGCAUCACAGUAUUCUCCAAAUGUGGUGAGAUGAGAUGCAUUCCUAUUGAAAUUAUUUCUAAAUGUUCUCAUCCAAAUGUAAAUUACUAUUUUAUGCACAGGUAUGCUCACUUUUGGGUGUUUGUGUGUACAUAAAUUAUCAUCCCAAGAUGCCAGCUAUCUUUGAAUGACCCAAAUCUUGCUUGUAUCUGGCUUCACCCCCUAAAAGAGGGUCCUGGGGCUAAAAAUAAGUUACAAAUAGGUUGCUUUAAUUUGGCAGUC
rnacentral:lncRNA from 11 species